rnacentral:rRNA from 1 species
UGGGGAAUAUUGCACAAUGGGGGAAACCCUGAUGCAGCGACGCCGCGUGAGUGAAGAAGUAUUUCGGUACGUAAAGCUCUAUCAGCAGGGAAGAAAAACCGGCCUUAGGGCCGCCAGACGGUACCUGACUAAGAAGCCCCGGCUAACUACGUGCCAGCAGCCGCGGUAAUACGUAGGGGGCAAGCGUUAUCCGGAUUUACUGGGUGUAAAGGGAGCGUAGACGGCAGCGCAAGUCUGGAGUGAAAUGCCGGGGCCCAACCCCGGAACUGCUUUGGAAACUGUGCAGCUCGAGUGCAGGAGAGGUAAGCGGAAUUCCUAGUGUAGCGGUGAAAUGCGUAGAUAUUAGGAGGAACACCAGUGGCGAAGGCGGCUUACUGGACUGUAACUGACGUUGAGGCUCGAAAGCGUGGGGAGCAAACAGG